GGCAUCUCUCAUCAGGGGCCAGCACGGCUGUGGGAGCCUGUUGGGACCCCAGUGAGGAGACCUACGCAUGAGCCAAGAACAUUGUCCAGUCCUCUGCAGCUCCAGAAUUCCCAAGAUCUUCCGCACCUCCAGAGCCCCGCCUCCUUCCCACGGGAUUCCAGGAGUGUUGCGCCUGCGCACCAGAACUGUGUAGCCUGCUAAAGCUGCUGUGCCUUACACUGACGUGGCUUCCAUGGACCUGGAUGUGACUCCUCCACAGCUCCAUGCAGGUUAUGCAGGUUAUGGCUGAGGGCUUCUGCUCUCCAAUGCAUGGUUCUCACACCCACGUGAUGUUGGGCAAGUGUGGAAUCCGAGUUCGAGUCUGCAGGUAUCAGGUGACACUUCUGGAAGGGGCAUUUGACCUCCAAAGAGGUUGAGACCCACAGGGUGAGAACCAAUGCCCUAGCUUGCUCUGCAGAAGGAAGGAAGUCUUGAGUAUCUACUGACAGACGUGAGCAGUAUGGGAACAGGUUCCUCUUCAGACUUCUCUGCGUGUAAGACCAAGUUGAUUGUGCAGGCCGAUCCUCCAUGAUCACUUUUAAUUCUCCUUCUCUGCAUCCAACAAAGCUUGUGUUCAAACAAGCCGGCAAGCUCUUUACCAGUAGAGCCAUCGCCCCAGCCUCCCACUCUGCCCUGUGCAGUGCUACCAACCACAGCCUUUGUUGCAGUUGCCUCCAUAAAUCCUUACCUCACAUCCCUUUCAAAGCGGAUGAACUUCUGGAGAUCUCUCUAGGAUAGCAGAAGGAGGCGUGUGCUGCCCAGGAUAUGUCUCAGAUGCUUAUGGAGGGCACAGCCUCUGUCCAGCCCCGUGAUUCCAGACCCAUAUACAGAAAGAGCUGGACGUGAUCUUCCACGCCUCCCAGAUUCAGUUCAUCCAUCUGCUGACACGGGCCAUGGUGGGAGCGGGCACCUAGUAUGAGCGGUGUGGUCACUGCACUGGGACUCUGGACUUGCCGGAAGCUGAUGAGAAGGGCAGGGUCCUUGUCGGAGCUCCUGCACUGGUCUGUAUUUCCUGUGAACCUAGAGCACCCUCGGCCCACAGGCAGCAUUUGGGAAGUGAGCCCGUGGGGUAAGUGGGAUUCUCGCUCGUACCCACAGAGCUCUGUCUGACCACUGUGGCAGGGCAGACACAGGUACUCUCUCACCCUGGAAGCUUCCCUGAUGUGCCUUCUCCUAUAGACCCAGGGGAAGUCAGCCACAGACACUGAGUCAGGGCCGACUCUGAGGGUUCUAGGUAAAGAAAAAAAAUGGUCCUCUGUGCCAAGGAACAGGGAUGUUUCCUCUGAGGCUCUUCUCUGGCUCGGGGGUAAUUUAUGGUCCCAUAAGAGCAGGAUACAGCAGGGGCUGAGAGAACAGAGAUGGACAUAGAUCUGGGGAGCCCUGGGAUGGGUCCUUCUGGAACCUGGGAAUGCUGACUAUUGCCAUAAGAGUGGCUUCACGGUGUCUCCAUAAGCACCUAGCAAAGUUUUGGUGGAAUCAGAAUUUUGUUUCGCUUGGAUUAGGAUCUCGGUUCCUGAGGGCCCUUCAAUACCUCUCCACCCCUAAUUUUGUUUGUUUGUUUGUUUCGUUUUUUUGAGACAGAGUCUCACUUUGUAGUCCAGGCUGGCCUAAAACUCACCAUGUCUCCCAGGUUAAUCCUAAGAUCACGAUCCUUCUCCUCGCCCUCCCGAGUGCUGUCGCUGAUCCACUCUUGGUUAAGAGGGUCUUCCUGUGGAGUCGGCUUCACCUAGCCCUGCGCCCUAAGAAAGGCCUUAGCUCUCUAAGGCCAGCCCUGGCUGGGGGCAGGGCACAGGCUCCCAAGUGAACCAGCACUGGGGUUGAAGCAGCUAGACUUGAAGUGAGGAAGGAGGAAGUGUGUGUCUCUCCGCUUCCACUGGGGUAGAAGAGGUGGUAAAGCAAGAGGCUGCAGGGGAGAGACCUUGACCCCCAGCACCUCUGUGCCACCCUUCUCUAUACGUCCCCAGCCCUGUCCCUGACCCCCAGUGCCUCUGUACAUCCCCAGCCCUCCUGGGUUACCCAUCUCUGUAUGACAGCGCCACCCUUCUCUGUAAGUCCCCAGCCCUCCUGGGUUACCCAUCAUCUCUGUAUGACAGUGCCAUUCAUGGAGUUAGGACUGGAUGGCGGAAAGGCUGCACGUCUGUGAGGGACGUUGGGAUAGGUGUAUACGUAUGUGUGUGCACGUGUGUAUGCACACACGUGUGUGCAUGUUUCUCGCUAUGACAACCCUGAGAAGAAUGUAGGAACAUCUCUACUCUAGAUACUGACACUGGUGCUCUCUGGGGUAGCUGUGACUUUCCCUCUAGGCAUGAGACAGCCCUCUGAGCUUCAACGCCAGUCUCCUUGGCACCAGAUCCAGAAUGCUUUCUUACGGAGCAGAUUCCAACUGUUUCUGGUGUGGGUUGCGGUUGAAAGUCUUUCACCAAACCCGAAGCUCACCGACUUGGCUAAGGUGACUAGCUAGUGAGCUUCAGGGACCCACCUGUCUCUGUCCCCACCCCCAUCCUCCCUCCCUCCCUUCCUGCCCUUGCUCUAAAGGCUAGCAUUACUGACCCAGGAUCAGCUGUUUAAAGCAACCACUGAAGACCCACACGUGUGCCUCAUGUUUGCACGGCACCUUCUGCUCAGACUCUGAGAGCUAGUCCCACACAUCCAGGCCAAGCUCAGGGUUUGACGACAAGGUCAUGGAAACUGGGUGACACUGUGGACCUUGUGACCAGGGCCCUACUUUCCCUUGCCUGGGAAUGGGGUUCACUCACAGUAAGGCAGGCCAGUGUGGAGGCAGGGUCUGGGCCUUGCUCUAUGGAGCUCCCUCUCCCACCUGGGGCCUUUGACCUGGACUUAUCGUAUAGUCUGAUGCCAUCUGGAUGUGAACUCAAUAUCCCAUCUAUGUGAUGAUCUAGGACAUAAGAGAGUCUUCCAGCAUUCCUGAUGCACAGCCAGGGCCACAUCAACUGCCUUCCUCCCCGGCACUGAUCCAGGCUUCUCAGGAGAUUUAAUGAGGUGCUUUCCAGGAACAUAUACUUGUAACCCGUUGGCUGCUAGGAAAAGACAUCCUCCAAACAGAUGAAGAACCCAUGAGUCUCAGCUGGAGAAGUUCAAAUCUUGAUUUGACCGAAGGAUUGCAGGGUGCAGAGAACCAGAGUCCCGGGUCUCUAUGAACUCUGACCUUCAGGAAAUAAUUUCAACACCUCCAGCUGGAAAGGUUGAGGGAGGGGACGGUACUGAAGUCAGGCAGGCUACCGCCCAGCCCCCACCCUCCCCACCCUCUUUUGCUUCAUUCCCGCUUCAGGCCUUCAGCCCCUUCUGCUGCAGCGAGAACCUGGCCUUCGGUUGGGGACAGUAGGGAAGCCGUGGGAAAAACAAUCAAACCUCAGUCAGUCGUAUAAUUAGUUGUUCCUCUGAGACUGUGGUCGCCUCCGUUUUCUCUGCCUGGCCAUCCCCCACCCUGCCCUGCAGGACAAGGGCUUCUGAAUACCAGGUCGUCACCUCAUUAAUGUGAACGGGAAGUCUGGACAUGAGCCGGAUGGCCAUAAAUUACCCUGUGUGAGAAAAGGUGAAAGACUUCGUAUGUGCAUGUGUGCUGCCUGUAUGUGCUUCAUGUGUGUGCGUGAGCCCCACCACAUGUUCCAUAUAUGUAUCACAUCAAUAACAAAGUACAUGUAUUACACAUGCGCUGUGUGUGCACCUAAGCAGCAACUAUG